AUUGAACGCUGGCGGCAUGCCUUACACAUGCAAGUCGAACGGUAACAGGUCUUCGGAUGCUGACGAGUGGCGAACGGGUGAGUAAUACAUCGGAACGUGCCUAGUAGUGGGGGAUAACUACUCGAAAGAGUGGCUAAUACCGCAUGAGAUCUACGGAUGAAAGCAGGGGAUCGCAAGACCUUGUGCUACUAGAGCGGCCGAUGGCAGAUUAGGUAGUUGGUGGGAUAAAAGCUUACCAAGCCGACGAUCUGUAGCUGGUCUGAGAGGACGAUCAGCCACACUGGGACUGAGAAACGGCCCAGACUCCUGCGGGAGGCAGCAGUGGGGAAUUUUGGACAAUGGGCGCAAGCCUGAUCCAGCAAUGCCGCGUGCAGGAUGAAGGCCUUCGGGUUGUAAACUGCUUUUGUACGGAACGAAAAGCCCCGGGUUAAUACCCUGGGGUCAUGACGGUACCGUAAGAAUAAGCACCGGCUAACUACGUGCCAGCCGCCGCGGUAAUAC
rnacentral:rRNA from 1 species